CCCUGGCUUCCCUCCAAGGCCUCCGCCCUUUCUCAGGAUUCUUCGCAGGUUCAUCUUCAUCCAUGGCCUUGCCGGGACCCUCCGAGCCACUCCUGGGCCUUCUUUCUACUCGUACUCCUCCAGGCUGGCUCCCAGGAGCACGUGGCAUUGGCUGCCAGUUCCAUCAUCUGGGCUCUUCCACCCAACCCACCCAUCCCUGGGAACAGAUGUGACAGUGGACCUGAAGGCACCCUGCAAACUGUAACACCUACACUUGCCAAACGACUCUUCCUGAAGGGUCACACUGAGCCUGUUUCCAGAGUUUCCUAUUUUCAAAAAAAAAAAAAGCCCUGACUGUGCAUUAAAAAUGCCAAAACGUAUUUUCCACCUCUCCCUCCCUUCAGUUGACUUCAGUGCAGCAUUUUCCCAAGCUGUGUUUCUUGGAGCCGAGAGCCCUGGAGAUCCUCCUUGCACCUCACCGUCUGUGCCUGUGACAGAUCCUCAGCAUUUCCAAGGCCCCCGGCAUGAGUUGGCUGGAGGGCCACAGCUGGUUCAUUUACCUUUGCCUUGA
rnacentral:lncRNA from 13 species